AUAUGACAAAUAAAAUGGUACGAGUAUUAGAUGUGGUUGUCUCAUUUAUGUAUGUAUCUCCUUCAUAUUUUUUCUGCUCAUUGCUUUUGGUUCUUCGCCUAAUCUUUUGCCUCUUGCUCGAAAUUGAGCACAGGAGUGUAGAGAGGAGUAUUUUUUCAAAGGGUGGUUUGCCCUCUCUGCAACUCAAACGAUCUCUCAUGUGAAAAAAAAGGGAAAAAAAAUCAAACAACCCUUCAAAUUUUUGACUCAAAUGGCUCUAUAAGUUAUGGGGUUGAACUAAAUUCAUGAGAUUUGGAGAAUUUUGAGGUUUCAAUUGAUACUUGGCAAGAGAAAUUUAGAGACCCGUAUCUUGGCGGGGCGACCCGGAAUGCAACCCGAGGGCGUGGCUGCAUUUACAGGCAAAGCAUAGAAAAAUGGAGGUUCAGCCCAGUAUAAAGAAUCGAAAAGGGACAAAUAUAUUCCUGUGCUAAAAAGAAUGAGGCCAACAGAAAGAUAAGGGAAUUCUUGGAGGGUGGUUGCCCCCUCUGUUUGGCCUAUGAUUUCCCUAUAAACAACAUUAACAACCCUCUUCAGAAGUACUAGUGCUUUGCUGUUUCCUCUGAGCUUUAGACCAAUUAUCCAGCUAAUAUUUGCUUUGUAAUUGUUCACAAGCUUGCUUGUGGGAGACUUUCCAUCUUUCAAAAGAGGUUGUGAUGAUAAUGCUCAUGGAAGAACCCUCACCAUAAUUUAGCCCUGAAAGGAAGAAUGAGAUAUCAGAGAGAGAUGGGUUUUUCUGUAAAGGGUGGUUGUACCCUCUCUUCUAUGUCCAUGAUUUCUUCUCCAUUCAUAAAAUACCAACAGCCCAUUCAGAAGAAAAAAAGAACAAGAUUGUUGAUUAUUGUGUAUAUAUAUGCUUCUUCCAAUUCCUGCUUCUGCUACUACUACUGUAGCUGGUUUUCACAAAUAGUCACUUUUAUGCCCCCGUAAAUACAAGGUAGAAAUGACACAACAAGGUAGCCGCUUUUAACGGGUCAUUUACAAGAGUUUUGAUUGAUCUGAAAAUGGGCUGUGUUUAUGAUUUCUUUUUUCUCUAUAAUCUACUUCAUCGAGUUAAGAAAAUCCGACCCGUACCUUGGCAGGAGGACUCGGUGAGGCAUCCAUUUGUGAACUGGUGUCUUGCAGCCAUGUUGACGUCGCUUUCUCUUUGCAUGUUUGUAGAAAAGAAAAAUCUGAGCCCUAAAGUGCACGGCAACUAUUUGAUGGUCUAAAAAAAAACACCGUUUGAUGGUCUUGAAUGGAUGGGCGUCCCGGUGGGUUCUUCAUUUUUUGUUGAGCACCCCAUUUUUCAGAUGUAGUUCUCCAUCAAAUUUUUAGCUAAACAAUGUGGUAAUCUGAGAAAAAAAAGGGAUUUUUCAGGGUGGUUGGCCAUCUCAGAUGUGCCAGUAAUUUUAUCUUUAGUUCUUACCAACAGCCCUUUUAGCAUAUGUAUGAAGAUAUAUAUAUAUAUAUGUGUGUGUGUGUGUGUGCGUGUGAAUAUUAUGUCUCUUCCUGUCUCUCUAUCUAUGGCUACUUUGAUCUUGCGUGGCUGGAUUUUCAGGCAAAGCAGCAUCAAAAGCAUAGAAAAGGGACAGUUAAGCAGACUUACAGGGUCUCUGGUUAAAUUCUCUCUUACAAAUCAGAGUGUUUUUUUCAGUUGCUUGGACUCUUCAAAAAUGGCGACAGGUGCUUGUUGGAUCCUUCCAAAAUUGUGCAUUUUUGGAGGAUCCGACAUUGGUGCGGCAGCAUUUUCGAGAGUCCGAGUAACACAUGUUUCUUUACUAAAAAAUGGAGGUUCAACCCAGUAUUAGGAAUGAGGCCGACAGAGAGAAAAGGUAAUUCUUGGAGGGUGGUUACGCCCUCUGAUUAACCUAUGAUUCCUAAUAAGCAAAUUCAACAACCUUCUUCAGAAGUACUAGCACUCUUUGCUGUUUCCUCUGAGCUUAGCAAAUUUACUCUGAUCUCUUCUUAUGUUUGUUAAAAAUUGCUUGAAAUUGUCCAACUGUCUGCACGUGGGAAAGUUUCCAUCUUUCAAAAGAGGCUGUGAUGAUAUUGCUAAUAUGGGUUGAUUUUCGGGGCAUGAAGACAAUCUGACCCGUAUCUUGGCAUGGCAAACCCGGAUGGUUUGUGAUUGAGCCUUGUCAUUCAGAUGCAACCGGUUCCUUUGCCGCCAUGGCGCUGUCAUUUUCUCUUUGGCCCAUUCUUUUUGAAGAUCUGAGCACCACCUGAAACUAGAUUUGGACUGGAUUCGAACCCAGGACCUCUUGUUUGGUGACGAUUUUGGUUAUUUAGUUUUUGUUGAACACCUUAUUGUUGUUCUCCAUCAAAGUGUAGUUGAAAGAAUGAAGCAAUUGGAGAAAAAAUGGUAGCUUCUCAAGAUGGUUGACCAUCUCCAUCAUGCUUAUGAUUUCUACAUCUUUCAGCUCUAACUAAUAUUAAGGACCAUUUUUUGAUAAUGUUCUCUGUUUUUUGUAACUGUUAUACUCUGUUCCAUGGAGGCUCCGGUUAUCUGGAAAAGCAACAGCAAAAGCGUACAACAAUGAAAUGAAAAAGGAAAAUAAUGGGCUGUGAUGAUUAUUUUACUGAACAAAUGGAAUCAGGCAUUGUUGUUUCAGGCCCCUAUCUUGGCAGGGCGACCGAUAUUAUAGGGUUUGCAGCCAUGACAGUGUCGAUGCCUGAGAUAAAUUAAAGAUCUGAGCCCAGAAGAAAGAAUGAGGCCAACCAAUAACCCUUUUCUUUUUUCCAUUGGUAUAGUCAGGGCACUCAUGGUUCAGUUUUUAGUUUUGACCAAAUAAGAACGCAAUAACAUCUGUCGCUAUGAUGUGAUGUUGAUGUCAAUGGUACUUCCUCUUUUCCAUUUUAUAUGUUGUGUUACUCUUCAAAUUCCAAGUUUCCAUCUUUCCGAAAAGGCAGUGAUGAUGUUGCUAACAUAGGCUGUUAUUUGGGCAGUGGGCAAGAGAAAACCCGACUCGUAUCUUUGCAAGGAAAACUCAGAUCAUGCAAUAUGUUCAUUUUGCAGCCAUGACAUUGUCAUCUUCUCUUGCCCCGUUUUACACAGAUCUGAGCCUCAACUUGCAAAUUAGUAAGGGGUCACGCAAUGGAUAUCUGUGCACUUCCCUCAUGUUACUACAAUAACAACAUUACCCAGUGUGAUCCCACAAGGUGGGGUUUGGGGAGGAUGGGGUGUACGACUACUUAUGCCUACCUGUGGUGGGGGUAGAGAGGUUGUUUCUGAUGGACCCUUUGGCUCAAGAAAACAUUUUUCAGAACUGGUUUGAAAAAUAUAAAAAGGUAGGAUGCAAAUACUGAAGAAAGGAAAGUAUUGCCGACAAAAGUAUAUAGUAAAAAUAAGCCCCAUGUUAAUGCAUUGAGAAAACCCUACCCAUAUCUUGGCGGUGCGACAUGGUAUAGCAUCAUCUAGUAACCUAUCUCUGGUUAUGCUACCAUCGCUCUUUUGGAGAAAAUGAAUACUGAAAUGGGCUGUGAUGAUUGCUUUCUUCUGGUCUACAUACUUGCCAGCUUUGAGAAAAUCUGACAUGUAUCUUGGCCGGGCGGCCCGUUAUGGCAACAUUGCAGCCGGUGUCUGCAGCCAUGGCAAUGUUGUUGUUUUCUCUUUGCAUAUCUUAGUGUGGCAUCUUUUGGGGUCUUGUGAGAUAUGGGAGCUAUUUAGGUUUCUGUAUCUCCAAAGACUUCUUAAGGUUGCAGGGGUUUAGCUUAUGUCUUAGAAAUGGUUAAUCUGAGCCUCCAAAAUAUCUGCGUUUGUCCAAGGAAUUAAGAUUUUAAUUGAACUUGAGAAAUGUUGACAUUUUCUGUGGGUGGUUAUUCUCUUUCUCUAAAGUUCAAUUUAGCCAAUGAAUUUGCCAGCACUUCUCUUACAGAGAGAAAGUUAACAAACCUCUUCAUCAGCUAUUGUCAAUUAUGCUCUUGAUGAUGAUAAUGAUGAUGAUGAUGAUUAGCCAUGGGUAUGGCGCAAUAAUAAGGGAAAAUACAUAUUCAAACCCCCCAACUGGUCCAGGAAAACCUGAAUCCUAAACCCUGAACUUUGUGAAUGAGUCUGUGAUGAUAUUCUCCUGGAAGCUUGAAAAUAAGAUUUUAGAACUAAUUAGUAUCUUGGCUAAGCAAAAGCAAAGGAGUUGGUGAGGUAGGUAUAUAUGCUUCUUACCAGGAUAUCUGCUUUUUGCAGUCAUGAGAAGAGGCAGCGAUGAUGAUGUUUCACUUUCCGAGCUAGCUGACUCUGGAACUUAAACAGUUUGACCCGAAUCUUGGCCUGGCAAAUCAGUGGAUGGUUGGAAUUUGGGAUUCUCCCUUUGCACACAAUCAGUGAUUUUGCAGCCAUGGCGUGGUUGCCUGAUAAAGAUCAUAUUUGAGCCUAAAAUUCUGGGCAUCGAACUUGAGUCCUCUUCCCUUUGAAAUUCUUUAGAACUCAAGCAUACAGUGGUACGAGCCAAUAGAACAGAUCCUGUUCAAUUAAGGUCGUCAUAAAAUCCAUUGAUGUCUGCUCCUAGUUUGUAGCUCAAGCUCCAGAUCUAAGAAUGAGGUACUAGAAAAGAUGUGUACUUUUUCUUCUUCCGUAUGCCCAUGAUGUCAAUGCCAUAAACACUAUACUUUCCCAUUGACUGUGUUGACUAGAUAUAUGGAUAUAUAGAUUGAAAUAUAUCUGCAUUUGCAUUUCCAAACAGGCCCAUAUAAAUGAAUCUCUCGACAGCUACCCUGUGUGAAAAUAUACUAUUGAUUGAAAAUGCUAGAGGAAUGGAUUAAACCUUGGAGUUUGUCUUUAACAGUGACAUGCUCUAAUGAUGGCUUCUUUUUGGGCUAUCUACCUUACUGCAUUGAUAAUAUCCGACUUGUAUCUUGGUGGGGUGAGCCAGCAUUGUAUUUUCUGCAAACCAGUGUCUGCAGCCAUGGUGUGGUGACUUUCUCGGAGCAGGAAAAUGUUUUCCUCCUUGCCAAAACACACCCUAUCUCUCUAUAGUUAAAAUUAAUUCCAACACCAUAGCACAAUUAAAGAUUCUUUUACUCAAUAGUGAGAAUCAUCCCAGAAGGAAGAAUGAAUCCAACCACCCUCUUUUCUGUGUUAAUUUUCCAAAAAGGCAAAUAUCUAUUGCCAUUGAUGUGAUGCUGAAUAUUGCUGAUAGCUGCAGUAGUACGACUCCUUAUGGUCCAGUUUACUUGCCUUGAAACUGUCCUCAAAUUUGGACAGAACAGAUUCCAUCUUUCAAAAGAGGCAGUGAUGAUAUUCCUAAUCAGGGCUGAAAAUUGGGGCAUGGAGAACCCCGACUCGUAUCUUGGCAGGGCAAACCCUGAUCAUGCAUCUGGUUCAUUUUGCAGCCGAUGAUGUCGUCUUCUCUUUUCCCCAUUUGAUGCAGAUCUGAGCCUUAACUGCCAAUCUGUCAUUGUGGAAUCUGCAAGACUCUAAAUCAGAACCUCGUUAGAUGGAAAAAAAACAAUUUUGCCUCAAAUGACUCCAGCAUUGGGAGAAAAUGUGGAUAUUUUCAGGGUGGUUGACCAUCUCCUGUAUAUCAAUGAUUUCGUCUUUGCUCUAAUCAGCUGUCUUUUUUGCUUUUGUAUGCGGGCAGAAGUGCACAGAUAAUCAAUUUUAGGACUGCUAUUUAGGUAGUAGUCGGAGUUGAGCUCAUUAUGAAAACCUGUCUGGUUUGUGAUGGGGUGUUCUCUUUCACAUUUAACCGGUUCUUUAGCAGCCAUGACAUUGUCAUCUUCUCUUUUCUUCAUUUGUCGCAGACCUGAUCCUCAAUUUCCAUCUAGUCCUUCUGGAUAUUCCAGCACUCAAAUCAGGACAUCGUCCGGUUGAAACCCAUGUCAUGUUCAGGAGCCGGUUGGUCGUGAGAAUUAUUCAUUUUUUUCGAAAUAAUUUCACUUUAUUACUCUAUUUAAAAUCAGUGUUCGGCUAUACAAUUUCCAAAUCCAACUCGGAGUCGGAUUUCAAAUUUGGAGAACAAUAGAAGUGCUCCAAACUUGUUUUCCAAUUCCAUCUUCAUGAAUUCCAAAUAAGGUGCCCUUUUCUCUACUUCGCAAAAAAUCUAACCAAACACAAUUCCAUCUUCAGUUCUAACUUCAUGUAUUCCAAAUAAAGUGAAAAUAUUUGAAAUCUAUGACCAAAUGUCUACUUAUAAUCAGCUCAAAGAAUGAGGCAAGUUGCAUUGUGGUUGCUGCUGCUGCAUCUUCUUCUGUUCCUUUCGUUCUUAUCGAUUGAGCAGCAAGAAAUCAAUUUAAGAGCAGGGAGAUUGAAGGCUGUGAUGAUAAUGCUGUUUUUGAGCAAUUUGGUUUGGGGAUUGAGAUUAUACGAGCUGUAUCUUGGUGGAGUUGCCUGGAGAGGUUGCUGCCUGCAACCAUGGCAGUUUCUGAUAAACUCAAUGCCUGAUUGAACUGAGAUCUGAACCUUGGUAAGAUUAGAAGAAAAUCCAAAUGGUCCUUAAUGUUCCGGGGCCUGACUAUUUUGGUCCUUGAUAUAUACUCCUUUGCACAAAUGAUCCUAACUGCAAAAAGUGUCCAUAUCCCUUAGACUAACAGAAGGCACCAAAGCUCCUGUUAAGUUUAUCAGAUAUUUUCUCCUGUUCUUGCUACUGUUGGAAUGUUAUGUGAACUAAACAAGUAAUCAAUGUAAGAACAGGAAAAAGUUUAUGGCUUUGAUGGUAAUGCUUUUUUGAAAAAGUUUAUGGCUUUGAUGGUAAUGCUUUUUUCUUUGUUGCGCAAUCGGAAUGGCCAUUGAGAUGGUUAGAGCCUUAUCUUGGCAGAGCAACGUGGGUAGGUUGCAGCCAUGACGGUUUCUGAUUAAAACCAAUGCCUGAUAAAAUUGAAGUCCGAGUUAUGCACAUGUGUGCAUGUAUAUUGUCUGUAUACUACAUACAUGCACACACACGUGCACAUGUCUUGUGAGAAUGAUUAAAAUGGCCCCUUGUUGACGCAGUGAUGAUCUUUCAAUCUAUCCUCCAAGCUAGUAGUUGAGCAUAGAAAGUACCCGACAUGUAUCUUGGUGGGCAAUGACCCAAAUACAUGUGAUUGUUACACACAAUUGGGGCGUUUGUAGCCAAGCUAUGGUUGGACUUCCGUUGCUUGAGCCUCAAUUGUCACUUAUACAGUCAGACCUCUAUGUAGCAGUCUUAUUCUUUCACAACAUUUCACUAUAACAGUCAUGUUUUCUGUGGGACUGAUCUUUCACGUUAUGUUGUAUUUUAUGUUCUCGGUAGCAACAUUUCGCUAUAGUAACCAAAAAAUAUUGGGAAAUAUGAUGCUGCUUUAGAGAGGCUUGGUUGUACCUUACUUUUCGUAUAUUUGCUAUGGAGGAAACUAUUUGAACGAAGCAUGAAUUUCCACAUAUAAGAUCUUCGACAUGAGGCCCUUAAUUUUGGGAGGUCAAAAGAGAUUAUACAACAACAACAACCUAGUGUAAUCCCAAAAGCGGGGUAUGGGGCGGGUGGAGUGUAGGUGGACCUUACUUUACCUUUUUGGGGUAGAUAAGCUGUUUCCGAUUGACCCUCAGCUCACAAAGGAGAAGGCAACCACGCCAUGGCUGUAAGAUCACUGGUUGCAUGCAAAAAAGAGAGCCUCCAUUGCAGGUCAUCUUGGGAUUUGCCUGGCCAAGAUACGGGUUGUAUUGUCUUCAGUGCCCCAGUUUGUUAACCCCAUCAGUUGAGUGAACCAUUGUUGAGGUCCAAAACAAUUUAGGCACUAUAAAUAUGAAGCAGAAGGUGAAAUGAAAAUGGAAAAAAUCUCAUUUGUUUAAGUCUAAGUCUACUGGAUUCAGAGAGUUUUUGACAUAGUUGCCCCUCUCUGUCAUUCUUAGAAGCCAAUGAUCACCCAAAAUUUCCCAAAUUUAAACCACUCUUUUAUUUAGCAAAAUAAGUUCUCAAUCAGGCAGUAAUGAUUUUCAUUCUUUAUUUAUUAGAUGGUUGAGCCUUACUAUAUCUUAGUGUGGCAGCCUUUUUUUUGGGGGAGUGGGGGUGGGGGGUAGUGGCUUUGUGAGAUAUUGGAAUUGGAACUAUUUUAGUUUCUGCAUCUCGCAGAGGCUCCUCAAGCUUGCAGCCAUGGCCGGGUUUAGCUUAUGUCUAAGAGAAGGCGAAUCUGAGCCUCCUAAAUAUCUGUUGAUGCUCAAAAUGAGGCUUUUAUGGAACUCGAGGAAUUUUGAGAUUAUCUAAGGGUGUUUGUUACUCCCUCUCUGAAGUUCAAUUAAGCCAAUGAAUUUCCCUAUACCUUUGUUAUGCAGAAAUAUUAACAGCCCUUUUGCUACAACAACUUACCCAGUGAAAUCCCUCAAGAGGAAGGUUAACAAACAUUUCAUUAAAAAAAUGCCAAUUAUGGUAAUGAUGGUGAAGAUAUCCAUGUUUAUGGUAGUAAUAAGGAAUAGGCAACAUACAUUGAGGCCUUCUGUUUGUCUCAUAAACUUGUCCGGAUAAAUCCUUUGUACUUGGAUCCUAACCCCUAAACUUUGUGAAUGAGGCUAUGAUGAUAUUCCCAAGGAAGCUCGAAAAGUCAAUUUUUUGAGCGAAUCGUACCUUGGUUAGGCAAAGGUAGGAAACUUUGUGAGGUGAGUUCUUAUGUGCUCUCUCACAAAGGGGUCUGCUUCUUGCAGCUAUGGCGGAUUAGCCAUUUUUCUGAUAUAUUUUAAGAUAAUCUGAGCGACUUUUCUGUUAAAUUUAGUUCUUCAAUGACUGGUCCUUCUGUUACAUUCUGUUCAUGUUCUUUCUUUUUGAAGAAUCUCAAUUUCAAAAGAAUUUUUUAUGUAUUCUUCUCCAAAAAUUCCUAGAGAGAAAUUAUUAGGUAUAUUAGAUAAGUCCAAUGCUUUUAUGUAUAUGUGAAUUCAUCUUACACAGUAUCCACACUUUCAUGCCUUCUUUUAAUCUUGAAAAAUCCCAAGUUUCAGAGGCAAUGAUGAUUAUUCUUAAGGAAAAGGAAAAGUGAAGAAGAUUUGGAGUUGAUUUAUGGCCUGGCUUGGCAAUAAAAAUUGGAAAGUCUUUCUUAUAAACCAACCGAUGAUUGCAGGCUUGCAGCCAUGGAAGUGUCAACUCUGCUCUUUUCUUUGAUUAAAUAGGAGAAAAUCUGAGCCUCAUCCUAAGGUUAUUCACACUUUUUUGACUAGUCUCUGAGCAAAUAGUUUAACUAGAAAUAUUUGAAUGAGGCUAAAUACAUUUGAUCCAGAUGAUUUUUUAUGGUCUUGAGACUCUUCUCUCUUUGUUGUUUCCAAUUUUUUCCCCUAUUCCUAGGGCUGAUUGGUUGGAGAAAGGCUUAAAACCAAAAUAAGGAUGUUUAAAUUUAGAAGAAACGUAAAGGAGGAUCAUGCUCUUUGGAAGGAUGUUAUCAUCAGCAAAUACGGACAGACUGAGCAAUGGACGACCAACACUGUGACUAACACUUGUGGAGUCUCAGUUUGGAGAACUAUCAGAAAUUUGUGGCCUAAAUUGUCCGAGAGCAUAGGUUAUAAGGUGGGUGAAGGGACUAGAAUUCUAUUCUGGAAAGACAAAUGGAUCGGCCAGAACUUACUCAUGGAGGAUUUUCCAGAUUUAUUUUCUUUCUGUGACAAUCCUGAAGCAUCUAUUGCUGAGACCUGGACUAACCAAGGAUGGAAUAUCAUCUUUAGAAGGCUUCUAAAUGACUAGGAGAUUGAGUGUGGCCAGCCUGCUGCAAAGGUUGAAUGAUUUCUCUGAUUUAAAUACCUGCCCUGAUACAAUCAGAUGGACAUGAUAUGGAUGGAAAAUUUUCAAUCUGAAGAUUGUACAGAAGAAAUUUGAUCUCACAAUCUGGGAUUAUCCCUGGACCUUGGAAACAAAUAUGGAAAUCUAAUAUCCCUACCAAGAUUAAGGAUUUCACAUGGAAGGUAUGUAAAAGAGCAUGUCUCACUCAGGAGAAACUGAAAAAGAGAGGUUUUGAGAUUAUCUCAAGGUGCUUCUUUUGCAAGGAAAAGGAGGAAACAAAUAGCCAUUUGUUCCUCCAUUCUAGAGUGACUUCUCAGGUGUGGCAUAUGUUUCUUAAUCUCAUCCAAAUAUCAUGGGUGAUGCCUGAGCAUACGACAGAUCUUCUAACCUGCUGGAUGAGAAGAGGCGGGAGUAAAAAACAGAAAAAAUGGUGGAGCCUAGUCCCUUCUUGCUUAUGGUGGUCAGCCUGGAAGGAAAGAAACAAUAGAUGUUUUAAGAAUAUCACUAAUCCAAUGCAGAAAGUAAAAAAAAAUUGCAUUAAUACUUUAUAUCUUUGGUGUUAAGAGGAGGGUAUAGAUGAUGUAGAACAGCUAAUAGAAUUCUUAGGCUCUCUGUAAUUAUGAUUACAUGCACUGUAAUUUUUUUGAUGGUUGACAGCAUACCCACAUUGCUGAGGAAUAUAACUUUACCUUGCUCAAAAAAUUUUUUUUUAGAAGAAAUGUAUUGUGGUUUCCCUAAUCAAAUCAAUAUGCUUUUUGAAAAGUUUGAGCAAGCUUUCUCAUAAAAGAGUAUUUCAAAGAAUGAAAAAGAGUUGUCUUUUUUAUUUUUUCUAGAAUAGCAUGGUAUUGAAUUUUCUGUUUCCUAAUUGCUUGUAGUUAUUUAAAUUCAAGUCACUUUUGUAUUUUCGUAAACAUCAAUUUUUUCACUUUUCAGUUUUGCAGCGUUCAAAAGGUUUACUUUUUUCGUGUGUGUAAUAUGUGUUGUGUAGUAACUAAGAAGGCUAUAACAGCUUCUGAGAGCAGCAAUCAAAGGUUUUGAUGCAUCCGUUUGGUGUUACACUGCCACUCUGGUUGAUCUGAGUCACAACUGCUAUAACACAUCCGAUCUUUUCUUGUCAUGGUUCUUUGUUCUGUUAUUUAGAAUCUCAGGUUCUCAUUUAUUUUGAGUGACUUGUUGUAGAUCGGAGAGAGGUCAUUUUGUCUUUGCGCAAAGGCUUUGGCAUGUGCACUGUUGACUUCUGACUCCGUAGAAAUAAAUUUGAAGCAAUUCAAUGAGAUUCAGGAGCUACGAUUUUGUUUUUGGUGAUCAUUCAUGCCUAGUAAACAUUGAGAUUUAGAUUCAGCAUAGAACUAUUAUUUCAUACUGUUGUUGAAGAGCCAAACAUAAAAUGGUCAUGGAGCUAGACUUUUGAAGAUCUCUUGGAAUAACUGAGAUAUACAAUUGCAUCAACUAAGAAUUACAACAUUUUCUGUUUAAUUGACCAUUUCCAUCAUGCCUAUGAUAUCUAUUUUCUUGCGUUUGAGUUGUAUACAUUGUGACGCUGUCAAUGUGAAUAAUAUUUUACACUAUCACGACAUAUCUAUAUGUUGUGGGAGGUAGCCCGUCUUAUUUUUAAGAUUGCAGAUCCACAUUUCAAGGAGACUUACCUAAAGAUAGCCUUUCAGCAACCUGGUAGUGUAAAAAUUAUUCACACUGAUUGUUUAUCUUAACAUAAACUCAUUUUCUUUUAGCUGUAACCUCACCUGCUAUUUUUCUUCAUAUAUGUGUUUGUGUAACCAACCCCCAUAUAUUAAGUACUAUUUUGAUCAUUUUCAUUGACUGUUAUACUUUGCUCCUAAAGAGGUUGCAUUUCCAUGGCAAAUCAACAGCAAAACCAUGCAGCAAUGUGCUUGAAAAGGGAUAAUAACAGACGUAAUGAUAAUUUUACUGAUCAGAUGGACUUGAGUGUUGUUGUUUUACCUCUGGAUCUUGAUAGGGCAACCUGGACUAUAAGUUUUGCAGCCGUGGAAGUGUUGAAGAACUCAAUGUCUGAGAUCAAUUGCUUAUUCUGAGUCUCAAAUCUUCAUCAAAAUAAUCUGCAGAUUUGAUUUUCAGCUUGUGGAUAUGCAGUGGAAAAAAUCUUAGAUAUUCUUACUAGUAUUAAUGGCCAAGUCUUGGACUGAAACUUCUGUUUUACUGUAAGCCUUUCUACAUCUUAUGUUUAUUGACGUUUCGUUUACCUUCUUUGUUCUUCUUUUCCAGCAACUCUAAGGUUUAGAUGGACUAUGCCACAGUCGACAGUAGACACUUUUGAGUUGUUGGAACAAUGUGAGCAGCUAUGUUAGUCAGAAGAAAAGGCGAAAUUUGUUUACCUGCUUGUAUAUGGUGGAUUAGCCCGAAAGGAGAGGAACGCUAGGCGUUUUGAAGAGAAGCAGCUCCAUCCAGAGGAAAAAGAUGAACUGCAUAAAAGAAAUUAUAAUUUCUUGUAAAAUGAAUAAGACAUGUUUAGUUGCUGUUUCUGUUUUAUUUUUCAACUAUGUACCGGUGCCUCAGUACAUCCUUUGUACUGGUUGCUCAUGAAACUGUUCAUUAUUAAAAAUGGAAUUACCAAGUUCUAUAAGACCGCUAACAGAAGAAGCUGGUAAUAGCCAGAAGCAGAGUGCGGAGUCAGGAUUCAGAGUCUGAGAGUUCUAAAUUUCAAAUUUAAAAAGUUUGACCACAACUCUAUUGUGGAAAACAUUUGUAUGACCUGACCUUAUUCCGUCAAUCAAUCAAUUUUGUUGGGAGAUUUACGAGUUAACAUAUAUAUACAAGUUUAUUUAAUUUUCUAAUAUAAAGUUGACUUAGAGAUAGAAUGUUUGAUUUUACGAUUUAUUAUUUGGUUGGUGAGAUAAAAGGAUAAUAUGGAAGUAUCUAUAUAAAGAGUGUUUUACUGAAGAAAACGAGAAACAGUUCAGCCCAGAAUGAAGAAUGAGGCCAACUGAGAGAACACAAAAAUGGAUUUCAUGGAGGAUGGUUGCCAUCUCUGAUUGGCCAAUGAUUUCUCCGUCCGAUGAAAACUAACAACCCUCCUUAUCAAAAAUUCCAAAAAAAGAAAAAAAAAAUUAAUACUUCCUUUGUUCCAUUUUUACUAGGUUUUGCAAAAUGUCCACAAAUUGCUGUAGAAAAGAUGGAAAGAGGCAGUGAUGACAUUGCUGUGUGAUGAUUCUGGGCUGAAAUUUGGGGCAUGGAGAAAACCCGACUCGUAUCUUGGCGGGGCAAAACCAGAAUCAUGCAAAACCGGUUCAUUUUUUUUUUUUUUGCAGCCAUGGCGAUUGUUGUCUUCUUCUCCUCUUGCCCCCAUUUUACACAGAUCUGAGCCUCAUUUUCAAAUUCGGAUGGAAACCCAGUUCAUUUAGCUCAAAAGACUGAGGCAAUCGGAGAAAAUGGGGAUUUUUUUUUCAUCUCCGGUAUGUCAAUGAUUUCUUCUUUGCUCUAGUUGACAUUCCCUUAAUCUUUUGAUUUAAUUUCCUAGAUUUUUAAUGUUGGGUAUAAAAUUAUAUGUUUUGGGCAUAUGAGUUCUUUAGAAACUGAAACUAUACAGAAAUAUUAACUUAUGUCUCGCAAAAAAUUGUUUGUUAUGAGUGCAUAAACUAAAACCCAACACAAAAUAGGGCAAAUGUGUGAAUGGUCCAGUAAUGGAAGCUCAGCCCAGUAUGAAGAAUGAGGCCAACAGGGAGAAAAAAGGGAAGUUCUUUGGAGGGUGGUUGCCCUCUCUGAUUGGCCUGUGAUUUCUCUUUUAACCAAACUAACAACCAUCUAUAAAAGUUGGAAAAAGAAACGAUGUUUGUUGUCAUUGUCAUUUGCCUUCAAUGGGGGCAAUGUGAUGCUAAUUGGCAAUUGUACUAUUCAAUUUUCUAUUAUUCUGAGCUACAUUUAGUUGCAUGAUCAUAAGUUCUUUAAGGAUAGCAGGACAAAAGUGCAAAUGACCCUCUGAGCUAAGGUCGGCUUAUGCUUUAAAGCCACUAGAAAGCAGUCCAAUCCAAACAGGCUCUUAUUGGAUUAUUCUUGUUAAGGUUGUUCAAAUGUGCUCUUCUGGAAAAGUUCCCAUGUUUAGGCAGUGAUGAUAUUUGCUAAUCUGGGCUGAUGUUUAUUAUUUGGGGUAUGGGGACAAUCUGACCCGUAUCUUGGCAUGGCAAAUCCAGAUGGUUUGUGAUUGAGUCUUCUCUUUCACAUGCAACUGGUUCUUUUGCAGCCAUGGCGGUUGUUGCCUUCUCUCUGCCCCAAUUUUUUGCAGAUCUGAGCCUCAAUUUCCAACUAGUCCAACUGGAUGUCCCAGGACUCAAAGAGUUUUGAACCUAAAUGAUGAUAAAACCCCAUGUAUGCACACACACAAAAAAAACACUUGAUGAGAAAAUGUCAAAAUGGUCCCUUAUCAGUGCAAUGAUGAUCUUUCAAUCUGUCCUCUUUAGCUAGUAAUUGAGCAUUUAGAGUACCUGGCCAGUAUCUUGGCGGGGCAAUGACCCGGAUGCCUGUGAUUUUGUUGCAUGCAACUUGGAAAUAUUUGCAGCCAUCGUAUGACUGGACUCCGACUUUCUUUACCUGAGCAUAAGAUGGAUCUGAGCCUCAAUUCACUUGUGGGUGUAUUUGGAAUGAAGGAAAAUGUUUUAGUGUUCACUACAAUAAAAGAGACAUUUUGUGGCAAUAGAAUUCCUCUUGCUGGCAAUAUUUAUGGCUGCAAAAACAUUUUGCUGCAAAUUAAGUUAAUGCCAUUGCAUCUUAAGUCGCUAGUGUCUUAAGUGACGUUUAUAUAGAGUGAUGUUUAUAAAUACUCAUAUAGGUUAUUGCCGCCAAAUAUAUUCUAGUAGCGAUUAUAUCAUUGCUGCUAAAUAAUUGCCACAAAAUUCUCUGUUUGUUGUAGUAGAAUCAGCCGUAAAGUGGCUAUCUUGUGUAUAACACCAUACUUAAAUGUGAUCCCAUUGUGGUCUGGAAAGUGGCUACCUUGUGUCAUCUCUACAAAUAAUAAGACCUUCGACAUGAGGCCCAUAAUGAGGCUGUGAUGAUUUUCAUUCUUUACUCAUCAGAUGGUUGAGCUUCAGUAUAUCUUGGCUUGGCAUCUUUUUGGGGGUCUUGCGAGAUAUUGGAGCUAUUUGGGUUUCUACUUCUUACAAAGACUCCUUAAGAUUGCAGCCAUGGUGGGGUUUAGCUUAUGUUUGAGAAAAGGCGAAUCUGAGCCUCCCGAAUCUCUGUUUGUAUAAAACAAUGAGGCUCUUUAUGCUACCCAACUUAUGCUGCAUAACUUAAUCCGUAUGGAACUUAGGCUAAGCGAGACGAAAGGUUCUCCAAACUUAUGCAGAAACAAGAGCUCCUGAUUUUGGGGAAAUCCGUGCUAAAACUUGUUAAUUUAAUGCAUUGAGAAAAUCUGACCUGUAUCUUGGCAGGGCAACCUGGUAUGACAUCAUCGGUAAACUGGCGUUUGCAGCCAUGGCAUUGUUCCUUUCUCUUUGCAUCUUCAUAUACAACAACAUAUGAGCACUAAAGUUGAUGGUAAAUUAUUUCUCAGAUGGUCACUUAACUUAAUGCGGGUACUCAGGAACCUAAAUACCCUAUAGGGUUCAGUCCGAGCAACAUAGAAUCAUUCAAUGAGGCAAUGAAGACAAUCUUUAAGAAUCAGAUAGUUGAACUUUGUUGUAACUUGGUGUGGCAGCUCUAAGGGUCUUUGAGCAUCCACUGAAUCAGUGACGUAGCCGGAAUAAGCUAAGCACAUACUCACAUGUCCGCUACCUAAACUUGGAACUGUUGGGAAAUUAUUGAUCAAAAGCACCAUAUUGGCCAAGUUAAUGGUGUAUUCUCAUUCCUGAUUAGAGGUACCAGAUGGGCAAAUUAAUUGGUAGAAUGAAUUGGUCAAAGCAAUAAAUAUAGAGAGAAGAGGAAGCUCCAAAUGACCCAAAAGAAUAGGUUUGUACCCCUAACAUUCAAACGUAUUGUUUUAUAAUGUAUCGUAUUACAUAUUUAUAUUAUUUUGAUGAGUAUAACUGUUGGAUAGAACAAUAAUUCGAAGAAUAAAUCUAUUAGAAAAAUGAAUUAAACCUAAGCUACUAUGAUUUUCUUUUUUUGAAUUUGCAAGGGAAAGCUGUCAAAGACAGGAAAGCUGAUGGAUGUUGAUAAUCAUCAGAUGAGGUGUACGGAGAGAUACAGUUGCUAGAGCCAAUGAUGGAAAAUGUCAAAGGUUUCACCAACCAUGGAGUUUCAAUAUUAGGAGGAAUGCUUUGCUUUUAUUACACUCAUGCUCCUUCUAACUCGAGAGAGACUACUCUUAAGUUAUGGGUAAUGAAGGAUUACAGUGUCAAAGGAGUCUUGGAUACCAUUAUAUAUACUAUACAAGAUAACGUUUUGCAUUUACUUAGACCGAUAUAUAUGUUUGCAGAUGGUGAAGUGCUACUCAACUACAGAUGUAUAGACCAAGUAGGGUUUAACUUCCCGUUUAGGACAUCCAAAGGACCACUAAAAUUAUGGCACAAAUAUAAUAUCCUAAAGCAAGGAAUUAUUUAUACGAUCUCUCCAAAAUCACUUAUUAGCGCUUGCUUAUGUAUGAUAGACAUUUUUUAAUUUUAUCGGUUUUCGAGUAUAUCAUGUAACAAACUCUUAAUUUUGAUAAGUUUAUCUAUUGCACACUAAUUUUUGUUAUGUAAAA